rnacentral:rRNA from 1 species
AUUGAACGCUGGCGGCAUGCCUUACACAUGCAAGUCGAACGGCAGCACGGGAGCAAUCCUGGUGGCGAGUGGCGAACGGGUGAGUAAUAUAUCGGAACGUGCCCAGUCGUGGGGGAUAACGCGGCGAAAGCCGUGCUAAUACCGCAUACGACCUACGGAUGAAAGCGGGGGAUCGCAGGACCUCGCGCGAUUGGAGCGGCCGAUAUCAGAUUAGCUAGUUGGUGGGGUAAAGGCCCACCAAGGCGACGAUCUGUAGCUGGUCUGAGAGGACGACCAGCCACUAUGGAACUGAGACACGGUCCAGACUCCUACGGGAGGCAGCAUUGGGGAAUUUUGGACAAUGGGCGCAAGCCUGAUCCAGUAAUGCCGCGUGCAGGAUGAAGGCCUUCGGGUUGUAAACUGCUUUUGUACGGAACGAAACGGCUCCUUCUAAUACAAGGGGCUAAUGACGGUACCGUAAGAAUAAGCACCGGCUAACUACGUGCCAGCCGCCGCGGUAUAC